GACGGAGGGCGCAAGCGUUAAUCGGAUUCAUUGGGCGUAAAGGGCGCGUAGGCGGAAAUGUUAGUCAGAUGUGAAAUCCCGGGGCUCAACUCCGGAACGGCAUUUGAAACUGCAUUCCUUGAGGGUAGAAGGAGAGAACGGAAUUCCACGUGUAGCGGUGAAAUGCGUAGAUAUGUGGAAGAACACCAGUGGCGAAGGCGGUUCUCUAUUUUAUUCCUGACGCUGAGGCGCGAAAGCAAGGGGAUCAAACAGG
rnacentral:rRNA from 1 species